UACGUAGGGUGCGAGCGUUGUCCGGAAUUACUGGGCGUAAAGAGCUCGUAGGCGGUUUGUCGCGUCGUCUGUGAAAUUCUGCAACUCAAUUGUAGGCGUGCAGGCGAUACGGGCAGACUUGAGUACUACAGGGGAGACUGGAAUUCCUGGUGUAGCGGUGAAAUGCGCAGAUAUCAGGAGGAACACCGGUGGCGAAGGCGGCUACCUGGACAGAAACUGACGCUGAGGCACGAAAGCUAGGGGAGCAAACAGG
rnacentral:rRNA from 1 species